UUCUAGUUCAAGUGUAGAGCAGUGCCGCAAGCUCCCAGGAAACACAGCUGCUUGCUCCGUCAUGUGAAUUUUCUCUGGAGAGGUUGUUUUGGGAAACCACCGGGCUGAAGAACAGUCUGUGAGAAGGGACAAAAGGCUCAUUUUGCUGUGUUGUUGAGAACAGACUGGAAGAGGUGAUCGGGAAAGGCAGGAAGACUUCUUUGAAGACUAUUACAGUCAUUCCGGUGAGAGAUGACUACAUGGAUGGAGUGAGAAUUACAGAGGAAGGAGAGAAACCAGCAUAAACACUUAGAAGGAGCACCAGUAAGGCAGCAGGAAAGCUGAGAGUGGGGAGUCCUGCGAGCCUAGUGAAGGUAAUGCAGUGAGUGCUGGUGCAUGUACUUUCUUCAGGCCUGAGAAGUGAUGAUUUAAUUUAGUACAGCGAAGGUGAAGAGAGAUUCCUGCGGAUUGGUGGACUGACAGACAAACUGGGGGAGGUUGAAGAGAGAGUGGGAGAAGUGGUGACACUGUGGCAGUUACUUAAAAAAAAAAGUUUGCUGGGUGCCUAGGGGACUCAGUGGGUUAAACAACCAACUCCUGA